AGUAGCUCGGUUAAUUUGGGAAGAAAAGACUUUCUGUUUUCUUUGUUUUGUUCCGACUGAAUUUUUGGUUGGCACGGAAGAUGGUUCCGUUUAAUCGCAAUGGAGCUUCGAUCGUGUCGGUUCCUCGUCGUUUCCUCGUCGUUGUUAUGUUUUGUUUAUUGUGGUUUCUCGAUUAAGACUUUGUUUUAUGCUGUUGAUUGCACGAUUUAUUAAUUUAUAUGGAUUCUAUUUAAAAGAUUUAGGUAGGUUGUACGUAGAUUAGUCGGUUCUUUAUAGCUGUUAUUUAGUUCGGUGAAUUGUAAAAGGACAAGAUUAAGGAGUAGACAGUUUUGUUUUCCUAUUUUUGAGAAUCCGUGGGAAAGCAAAUGUGUUGUACAGUUUUUAUAAUUGGGCGUAUUUCUUUCCUGUUAUUUUUCCUUUUGUGAAGAGACAUGUAAAAUUAAUUGUACCUCGUCCGAUAUGGAGAACCGUAGCUACGUGUUUUCAAUUCUUUUAUAAUCACAAAGUGAGGUAUCGCAGAAGACGUCUAUUCACUGAUGGUAUCUUUCUAAUCUACAAAUCUUACCGGUAAUAACAAAAAAAAACGUGGUUU